AGCUCACACACAACGAUAUAUCAUUUGCCAUUCUUCUGGGGUUCCUUCUCAAGACCCCCAAUAUCCUCUUGAACUUUGAGCUUCCCCAUCUGGAGCUUCUUUCCCUUCCACAAACUCACCAUGCUGUCUCUUGACUUUCCUACCUGAGCUUCCCGCUCCCGGAAAUCUCUUCUUCCUUUGACUCACAAAACACCUAUUCAUCCUUUACACCUCAGGUCCCUUAAAUGUCAGGGCCUUCCCCACCCUCGGAAGUAUCAGAAAACACAGGGAAUCUUAUUUCUCUCACUUAAGUCAAGUCUGGAGAUACAGGGUGCUUUUCAUGGAGUCCUCGGGGUCCCAGGCUCCUUCCCACACUGCCAGCCCUACAGGAUCUGGACAGUGAUGACCUGCUCCGAAGCACAUUCCGCGCCUUCACUGCGAAACCCGGGGUUAGACAGAGUGCGGCAAGCCAGAACCCUCAACCAUCCGGUCUGGGUCUGUUCUCUUUUGCAUAUUUG
rnacentral:lncRNA from 1 species